GCGUCUUGUAGUAUAGUGGUCAGUACCUCACGUUGUGGCCGUGAUAUCCCCGGUUCGAAUCCGGGGCAGGCGCA
rnacentral:tRNA from 1 species